rnacentral:rRNA from 1 species
UACAGAGGGUGCGAGCGUUAAUCGGAAUUACUGGGCGUAAAGCGUGCGUAGACGGUUAUUUAAGUCGGAUGUGAAAGCCCCGGGCUCAACCUGGGAAUUGCAUUCGAGACUGAAUAGCUAGGGUGCGGUAGAGGGAAGCGGAAUUUCCGGUGUAGCGGUGAAAUGCGUAGAUAUCGGAAGGAACAUCAGUGGCGAAAGCGGCUUCCUGGACCAGCACCGACGUUCAGGCACGAAAGCGUGGGGAGCAAACAGGAUUAGAUACCCUGGUAGUCCACGCCAUAAACGAUGAGGACUAGACGUUGGAGGGGUAAGCCUUUCAGUGUCGUAGCUAACGCGCUAAGUCCUCCGCCUGGGGAGUACGGCCGCAAGGUUG